UAUUAUCUGUAAUUAUAAUUACAUACUUAAGUUCUAAACUUAAUACACUUAUUGUUAAGAUAAC
rnacentral:tRNA from 1 species